rnacentral:lncRNA from 1 species
AGAUAAGCGUGGUCAGGAGAGGCCCUGUGGAGACAAAAAGCCCAAGAGCAAGACUGGUUUUGCUUGCUUUCACUUUCGGUCAAUAUGGCAUUUUAGAGUUUAAAUCCACUUGAAUGAAAAUACGGAAUCAAGGGGCUUCCUUGAAUAUGGCUUUCAGUUGGGUUUGGCCGACGAGAAGCACCCCCAGGAGAUCAACGGCAGGAGGAGCACAGAAUCUCUCUAGCUAUCAUAUAAAGGAUACAUUUUAAAAAGAAAAGAAUGGAAGCCGGGGCCCAGUGCAAGGCAGCAAAGAAGAAUGAGUGAAGGAGUGCCCGGAAUGGACAGAAGUAGUAGGAAUGGAUAGAAAGAGUAAAUCAAAAUAAGGACUCUCACUUUUUGGUUGUGUGACUUACCGUGGCGUAACUCAGCAUAGGAAAUAGAAUUGGAAUGAUGACAUCCAAUUCUGCAUCCAGCCUAAAUCCUUUGUCUAGCACAACAUGGAUUCAUUUUGCUGAAUGAGGUGCCAGUCAUCACAGACCAACAUGUGCUACAGUGUGAUAGUGAGAGUCCAAGAAAUACUGCUCUGCACUCUACCUGAGAGAGAUACAGCACUCCUUAUUUGCAAAGUCUGGAGGGAGAACUGCUUUCUGUGAUUCAUUUUAAUUGCUACCUAAAGUCUAUAAAAUUUAAUGGUUGCCAUUUUUCCCUCAAAGUGGUGGUAACGAAUGCAUUACAUGUUCUUAAGACUGUAUAAAUUGAACUUCUAUAAAAACAAAUCAAUAAUUACUUACACACGUUGCUGUUUUUUAGAUCAACCACCAUCAUUAAUAGGGCUUUACUUAUAAAAUCUUAUAAAGUAUAGAUUAA